rnacentral:rRNA from 1 species
GACGAACGCUGGCGGCAUGCCUAAUACAUGCAAGUCGAGCGAACGGAUGAAGUGCUUGCACUUCUGACGUUAGCGGCGAACGGGUGAGUAACACGUAAGGAAUCUACCUAUAAGCGGGGGAUAACAUUCGGAAACGGGUGCUAAUACCGCAUAAUAUCUUCUUCCGCAUGGAAGAAGAGUGAAAGACGGCUCUGCUGUCACUUAUAGAUGACCUUGCGGUGCAUUAUUUGGUUGGUGGGGUAACGGCCUACCAAGACGAUGAUGCAUAGCCGACCUGAGAGGGUGAUCGGCCACAUUGGGACUGAGACACGGCCCAAACUCCUACGGGAGGCAGCAGUAGGGAAUCUUCCGCAAUGGGCGAAAGCCUGACGGAGCAAUGCCGCGUGAGUGAAGAAGGCCUUCGGGUCGUAAAACUCUGUUAUAAGAGAAGAACAAAUUGUAGAGUAACUGCUACAGUCUUGACGGUAUCUUAUCAGAAAGCCACGGCUAACUACGUGCCAGCAGCCGCCGUAA